CACCAAUGAGCACGGAGACCAGGAUGGAGCAAGUCGCUGGCAGCUUCUUGGAAACGUGGACCGUCGGUUUCAAUGAUGUUCGAGCUCUUGCGCACACAAGAGCCUUCGCAAUGACGUCACCCAGCUUCUAUCACCUCGGGGGUCUAUAAAGUCGAUAGGUUCAGAGAAUGGGAGCUAUCUGGACUGACAUGGCCACCAUGCAGAAAGGAGUUUCCCCUUCUUCACUGUUGCAAGAGCCCUUGUGUGAACUGUCCUGGACCUGUUGAAUCUGAU